UCCUCUUGAUCCAAGCUGAUCUGCGCUCCUAGCAAAGCUGCAUUUGGAGAGUCAACCUGCACAUCUGGCCACUCUCACCUCUCAUACUUGGUACAAUAAAUGGCCUGGAUUAACCCAGCUGUGUUAUCAGCUCAGAGCAGCAUGAGAAAGCCACGCUGCUUUCACAGAGGACACUGCUAUUUUCUAUUCUGUCAAGAGUUGGGCCUCUAAUGUAACACAAAUACUGUGGUUUGCUUGGAUACGGAUUCAGUAAUUAAUUGCUGAAAAAUUUAAAAAAUACAUGCUUUCUGACCAACAUAUCAUCAGUUUUGCUACUGUGCAGAUUGACACCUCUUCACUUUCUGUUUAAGGUUCCCCCCAGGAAAGCUAGCCUUCAAAACAGAGGAGGCUUUACUCAGAGUGAAGUUACAGGUGUUCAGAUUGGUGUGAUGACAGCUGGAAGCUGAGCAGAAAUGAAGACAUUCUUAUUGCACCCAAACCUGGUGUUUCAUAAUGUGAUCAUUUGAGGAAAUCCUACUAUGAUGUCAGAGCAGCAUUCUGAGAAAAAAAUUACCUCACAAUUUGAUGAGCUUUGCUGCAGACCAUUCUGUGGGUAUGGAUUCUAAAGCUGUGCCCAGACAGAAGAUCCCAUUGCAGGAGAAGUGAACCCAUUCCAUACUGUGCGAGGUGCAGAGCUGCUGCUGGGUGAGGCAGAUUUGGGAGGAGGUGCAGCUGAAGUGAGGAGAGUGACAUCCAAGAGGGAAUGAAUACCUGGAUGUUCCUUGGGUUCUUUUUCAAAUGCCACAAUGAUUUGUUAAGUGGAGUCUGUUCCAUAGAUGUUGGAAGCAAAGCAGGAGUAACGCCCCGUGUCCUCCUCAAAAGCCUCAACAAUGAUCAGGGAGUGGCGGUCACCUGCCUGGAUAAUUUGGAUGUCUGGUGAGUUUUCAAGCUCCUUCCCUUCACAGUACCACCU